rnacentral:piRNA from 1 species
UAACAGGUGACUGUCAAGGCCAAGGUAC